rnacentral:rRNA from 1 species
GGGGAAUAUUGCGCAAUGGGGGGAACCCUGACGCAGCAACGCCGCGUGAGUGAAGAAGGUCUUCGGAUCGUAAAACUCUGUCAUAGGGGAAGGAGGAGAUGACGGUACCCUAUGAGGAAGCCCCGGCUAACUACGUGCCAGCAGCCGCGGUAAUACGUAGGGGGCGAGCGUUGUCCGGAAUUACUGGGCGUAAAGGGUGCGUAGGCGGCUGAUUAAGUCAGAUGUGAAAUACCAGGGCUCAACCCUGGGGGUGCAUUUGAAACUGGCCAGCUUGAGUGCAGGAGAGGGAAGUGGAAUUCCUAGUGUAGCGGUGAAAUGCGUAGAGAUUAGGAGGAACACCAGUGGCGAAGGCGACUUCCUGGACUGUAACUGACGCUGAGGCACGAAAGCGUGGGGAGCAAAC